CCAGCUGAAGAAGAGGGGGGACUCUGACAAUCAGACUGAUGGACCUACGGCCUCCCCUUCACAGCUGUCUCGCUCUCCAAAGUCCCCAUUCCUUCCCCGGGCGGCGCGUGUGCUGCCCCCUCCUGGAGGAAAAGACAACAGUGAGGAGAAGUCGCCUCAGUGGUUGAAAGAGCUGAAAUCCAAGAAGCGUUUGAGUCAAUAUGAAAAUGAAAGCUAAGUAAACAGUAAGGUUGCCUUAACGAUGAAUCUGUAUGAAACAGAAGCCUUAAGAGUAGGAGGAAGUGGAUCUACAGCUGCUGCUGCUAUUUGUUUCUCCCUCAUUUGUGUUUGUUUUCUUUAUGUUUUGUUUCGUUUUUAUCGUUCCGGGUCAGUAAAUGUGCAUGGUGCCUUUUUUUGUGUCAAGUACCUGUCUAAUGAAACAAGAACAACGAGGAGAAGGAAACACCAGGCUGCUCUGCUUGAUCAUUUCAUGCUUUGACUGGUGGGACUUUAACUUUAACUUUACCUUUACCUGGGACCACGAGACACAAACUAAAGGUUGUUACUCGUUAGAGUUGCAUUUCAGCAAGUGUUAAGUUUGUGGGACUGCAAAACCUCAUCAUCAUCACCGCUGGAAGAACAUCCAGCCAAACCUUUACAAGAUGUUUAAAUGUAGUCUCUUUACUCUUUACUGCUUAUAUGAAUAUGUUUGUAUCGGCCACGUGUACAGUCUGGACGUUGUAAAUAGGAAUCAAUCAUGUGAUAACAUUUCAGACACUAAUCCUUUUUUGAAUAAAGAGAACAAAGCAUCA